rnacentral:rRNA from 1 species
GUAACCUGCCUCACACAGGGGGAUAGCAGUUGGAAACGGCUGAUAAUACCGCAUAAGCGCACAGUACCGCAUGGUACAGUGUGAAAAACUCCGGUGGUGUGAGAUGGACCCGCGUCUGAUUAGCUUGUUGGCAGGGUAACGGCCUACCAAGGCAACGAUCAGUAGCCGACCUGAGAGGGUGACCGGCCACAUUGGGACUGAGACACGGCCCAGACUCCUACGGGAGGCAGCAGUGGGGAAUAUUGCACAAUGGAGGAAACUCUGAUGCAGCGACGCCGCGUGAGUGAAGAAGUAAUUCGUUAUGUAAAGCUCUAUCAGUAGGGAAGAUA